CAUUUUUUUUUUUUCAUCGUGAGCCGGUCAAGAUGGCGGCGGUAUUGCCGAGACGGAGCAGCCGCUCGUCUUAACCCGAUAAUUUUCUCUAAUUCACCGGCGCAGAUUGGACUCAAAUCGUGCCGCGCAACUGUGUGAAAACAACCGCAGCCCGCGAUAUCCAUCGUGAGAUCCUGUCGCGUUAAACCCGAUGUUUUUUUCACGGAGAAUGCUCUUACUCUAGUUUAUAUGUCUCGUCCAUUAGCUGUAUUGGGGAGAAUGGGAGAAAAGCUGGAGUUAAAACUGAAGUCGCCGGUCGGAGCCGAGGCUGCAGGCUACCCGUGGCCCUUACCUGUAUAUGAUAAGCAUCAUGAUGCUGCACAUGAAAUCAUCGAAACCAUUCGCUGGGUGUGUGAAGAGAUCCCAGAUCUUAAGCUGGCCAUGGAGAACUACGUUCUUAUCGACUACGACACCAAGUGCUUUGAGAGUAUGCAGAGACUGUGUGAUAAGUACAACAGAGCCAUUGACAGCAUUCACCAACUGUGGAAAGGGACCACCCAACCCAUGAAACUGAACAAGAGGCCUUCGAACGGCCUGCUGCGUCACAUCCUGCAGCAGGUCUACAACCACUCCGUCACCGACCCAGAGAAACUCAACAACUACGAGCCGUUCUCUCCUGAGGUGUACGGGGAGACCUCUUUUGACCUGGUGGCUCAGAUCAUUGAUGAGAUGGAGAUGAUGGAAGAGGACACCUUUGUGGAUCUGGGCAGUGGAGUUGGUCAGGUAGUCCUGCAAGUCGCUGCAGCCACCAACUGUAAACACUACUUUGGCGUGGAGAAAGCAGACACUCCAGCAACCUAUGCUGAGUCAAUGGACAGGGAGUUUAAGAGAUGGAUGAAGUGGUAUGGCAAAAAACAUGGCGAGUACACGCUGGAAAGGGGAGAUUUCCUUUCAGAAGAAUGGAAGGAACGAAUAGCCAACACAAGUGUUAUUUUUGUGAAUAACUUUGCCUUUGGUCCUGAGGUGGACCACCAGCUGAAGGAACGAUUCGCUAACAUGAAGGAAGGUGGAAAAAUUGUAUCCUCAAAACCUUUUGCACCUCUUAACUUCAGAAUAAACAGUCGAAACUUGAGUGAUAUUGGCACAAUAAUGAGGGUAGUUGAGCUGUCCCCUCUGAGGGGAUCAGUGUCAUGGACGGGGAAGCCAGUGUCGUACUAUCUGCAUACAAUAGACCGCACCAUACUUGAAAACUAUUUUUCUAGUCUCAAAAAUCCUAAACUCAGGGAGGAGCAGGAGGCAGCCAGAAGACGCCAGCCGAAGGACAGUAAGGAGAAUAAGAGCAACACCACCACACCAACCAAGCCCAAGGAGCACAAGACACAGCAUGACUCUGGUGGUGAGGAGGAGCGCUCAAACUCACUUGUGACAGUGAAACCGUCACCGAAACCCCGCCGGGCCAAACUGCUGCCCAGGGGCCGCAAGCUAGGCAACAGGAAGCGUGGGCGGCCUAAGAAGGCUGCUGCUGCCACUGCAGCCGAGCGCAAGAGCAAGAAGAACCAGAGCGCCCUUGAUCUGCUGCAUGCUAAGACCCUCUCAGCGGCCCCCGCUCAAGAUGCAUACAGGUCACCUCAGAGUCCGUUCUAUCAGCUACCUCCCAAAGUACAGCAUUAUACAUCAAGCCAGCUUCUCAUGGGCCCCACUCCACCAGACCUGCAGGCUCUUCUCGAUAAUAUGAAAGUCCAGUACCUGCAGUUCAUGGCCUACAUGAAGACACCACAGUACCGUACCAGCCUGCAGCAAGCCCUCGAGCAGGAAAAGCUGAGACACACAGAACUGUCCGGUCAAGCACAGCAGCUGCUCAGUGCUUGUAAUGCUCAUAAGGAGAGGAUCAGAGACCUUUUCCAGUCCAAACUGGAGGAGCUGGGCUUGAAGGCGGUGACUGUGGAAGACCUAGUACAAGCUCAGAAGGAGAUCACAGCCCACAACCUCCAGCUGAGGGAGCAGACCAAACAACUGGAGAGGGACAUGGGAGAGCUCCGAGACCAGAGCCUGGUGCUGCUGAAGGCUCGGUGUGAGGAGCUCAAGCUGGACUGGGGAUCUCUAUGUUUGGAGACGCUUUUGAAAGAGAAAGCGGCUCUGCGAAGACAAAUCUCAGAGAAACAGCGUCACUGUCUGGAGCUCCAGAUCAGCAUCGUUGAACUAGAGAAGAGCCAGAGGCAGCAGGAGCUCCUGCAGCUCAAGUCUUACAACCCGUGUGAGGAGUCCCCCUACCAAAAGGCCCUCCCCGGUCCAGAUCCCUGGCCAACACUGGAUUCCAACACCCCCAAACACAACCCUCAAGCUUCUGUGAGGCUCAACGGCCUCAGCCCUGAGCUAUCCAUCAAUGGUACGGCCUCGCCGGGUUAUGAGAGAGGCAGUGGAAUGGGCAAAAACGAGCUCCUCACCCGCUAUCUGCCCAUAUCUCCUGACCACGAAAUUGUGCCGCCCACCCCAGACUCAAGAACCAGGCAGCUAGGGCAACCCCUGCCUGACUACACCCGCUUUUCUCCUGCCAAGAUCGCCCUACGCAGGCACCUCAACCAAGAUUCGGCUGCCAAUCAAUUUAGAGCCCUUGGCAACAUCCACCGGUGCGACAAUGGUGCUGUAUCAUCUCCAACUCUGGGAUUAAAACAGUCUUGCUCCUCACCCAGUUCAACUGAUAUUCUAGCAACCACCACACAAAAGAGCCCAGCUGCCCCCGGCGACACUAUAACCAGUCUACCAAUCAGCAUCCCCCUCAGCACUGUGCAUCCAAGCAAACUUCCUGUCAGCAUCCCACUGGCCAGCGUGGUGCUGCCGAACCGUGCAGAAAGACUGAGGAGCACUCCUAGUCCAGUUUCAAAUCCAGCAGGACAGAGCAAUGGCAAGCCACCUCUCACGCCUACCUCAGGGUACUCCUCCAGCUCAGGAUUGGUGAAUGGCUCUCACACCGCCAUGCUGACCGAGGACCAAGACUGUGACGCUGCCUCCCCUCUUCCUCACAGCACUCCCAUCAUGGGCCUCCAGCCUCGCUGCUCUGGCCUCAGUCCUGCACUGGGCACUGGGGGCGUGCUGCAGUAUGCCGACGGCCCACCGAGGCUUCCACCCGAGGAUGGCCAUGACCGCCAGGGCCCCGAAUCUGACACGGAGCCCUUGGACAGCGAAGCUCGUAGGCGUAUCUUUUUCUCCUCAUCCUCUUCUUCCUCCUCAUCUUCGUCCUCCACGGGAGGCUCAAGGCUCCACCACGGGUCGGUAAAGCAGGGUCACCAUCAUCACAGUAAGCAUCAUCAUCACCACCAUCAUCAUCAUCAUCACUCUCCGAGCUCCCACAGCCAAGAGGGGCGGAAACGAGGGCGGCGAAAGCGCAGCUCCUCUGGAGCCAUUCCCAUUAGUGGAUCCCCCAAAAGAAGGGCAUUUCCAGGACUUGGCUGCUCAAGCCAUUCUUCAGGAUCACCACUUAAUAUCAAUUCAAUGGUGAACAACAUAAACCAGCCUUUGGAGAUCUCCGCCAUCUCUUCCCCGGAGCAGUCAGGUCGAAGCCCAUGCGGGACAGAUCUAGAUCAGCCUCCUGUGCUUAAAAGAGAGCGUCCCCUGGAGCUCAACAACACAGGUCGUUAUUCCUCCACCCCUAGUUCAGAUGAAGAGGGCACCAUUUAUGCCCCGGACACCUCUAGUUCAAGCCGAAUUGAGCGGAAAAUCGCCACCAUUUCCUUAGAUCGAGAUGGACCUAUCAGAGAUAUGGAAAGGGGUUUGCAAGGACGUAAAUCAGGUGCCAGUAGCGUGAGCAGUGAGGUAUCAUCUUCCUCCGGAACCGGCAAGUGGAAAUCCACCUUCUCCCCAAUCUCUGACCCCAAGCCAACUCCUCCGGAUCACCGCCAGGGUGGCUCGCCAUUCGGUAUGGGGGCUUCCCGAGGUGGUACAGACUCUGACUCUGACCAGAAACCACAGAAGAGAGGGGAACGUGAACGUGAGCGUGAGUCUUACGGGAACUCAAACCUCUUCCUCAUUCAAGAUGGCAGUGGGCGCUCGGUCGUCAACACAUUGGAGCGACCGCUGCAGAAACAUAAAUUGCGGGAGUGGGACCUGAAAUCUAUAAGUGGAUUAGCCAGCCAGAACCUCUUUAUAUCCGCUGCGGCCAGUGGAGGCAUCUUGACUGGGAAAGUGGGUGGGACCUCUGCAGUUUCCUCCGCCUCCUCAGUAGGACAGUACUUCCCCCUGAGUGGGGCUUCAGUUCUCCAGUCCUUAUUUGGAGCUCAGACAUCUGGACCAACUACCAGCGGAGCUCCUCGGUUGGUCAACGGACAUUUGGCGCUCAGCAGUUUCUCCAGCGCCGGUCUGGCAGGGGGCGCUGCAGGAGGGAUUUUUCACCACAUGGUGCCUUCAGUCUCCUCACAGCAGUCUGGGGCCAAUCUCCCGGGCCCCGGGGCCCUCAGUUCCCAGCAGAGGCAUCUGGACACGAACCCCAAACCGGGGACCUUGUUCUUGGCCUCUGGCCCCUCGCAGCUCAGCCGCACACAGACAGUCCUACACGCGCCCUCCCCGCCUGCCCUCCCUCUGCCCCCUCCCCUCCUGAACCCGUCCUCCGCUGUCCCGUCCCAACCUUCGUCCCCACGUCCCGAGUGCCAGCAGUCCUCAAGGCCGCAGUCGUCCCACCCUGCUUCCACCUCCUCCCUGUCUCUGGUCACCACAUCUGCUUCCGCCACCUCCUCCGCUUCCUCCCGUCCCUUCACUGUGCACUAUCCCCCGCAUCUGCCUCCCCUACACCCUCCCGGCAGCGCAGGUUCAGGUGGGGCUGGGGUGUCUUGGAGGACUCUGGGUAUGCAGGCGUCCUACACAGCCUCGCAGAUCCCCAGCAAUCGCCCCAGAUAACACCCAUCUGGGCAUAGGAGGGUGGGGGAAGGGGGGUUAGACUACUACUAGACGGAUACAGGGAAGCUACUGCGCUCUGCCAGCUAUAAUCUCAACAAGGUAACUGAAGAAAUCUACCUCAACCCAACGUAGCCUAUGCAAUGGACAGGUGUGGACCAAUGGGCUCGACUCGCUCAGCGGUGCUCAAACAUUUGCUAAAGCCGCCACUGUAAAACUGAUAUGGGUAUCAGAACUUAUCACAGGUGCAGCUUAACACACACACACACACGCACUGCCCCUGAAUCAGAUUCAGAUUGAUAGUAUGCAGCUUCCUUGUUUUUUCAGAGUGUGACACCUUGUUGGGCUGAUGCUAACAGCCAUUUAUCAAUAAUUGGGAGUUUAACAUGGCCUUACUGAUGGCUGGUUUACUAAAUUACAGCCAUCUUCUGGUUGAUUCAUAAUCAUUUCCACAGGAAGUGUCUUAAAAGUCAGGAAUAUCAUUUCAGUUAGUACAGUCUCAAUAGGCAGUACACACACACACACAAAUGUUUUAUUUGUGAAUCUCUGUAACCUUGCUGCUGUUAUCAGUGGAAAUACAUGUGGCUUAUUCGGAUGGACUCCAUGAAGCCCCUGGAGCCUGAUGCUGGGACAUCCCCCUUCCAGUCUGAGCUUGUGCUGGGAACUCACUGUUUUAGUGAAAUUGAUGAUGAUAAAUAGUGUAGUGGUAAACUUGGCUUUCGAAGUUUAACAUCUCAUCAUAUUAAUUGUUUGCCUAAUAAGGUGAAAUAUGGAAAACCACAAGCUCCAGCUGUAUAAGGGGAAUUUCCAAGUGAUAUUUUACCUAAAAAAGAAGACUAUUUAAAAGUAUUGUGUAAUAUUAAAAGCAAGGAUUUUUUUAGUAAUUGUAAAAAAUGGUCAUGACUGUUAAGCACAUUUCCCCAAAAUUCUCAUUACAAUAAUGCAACAAAAUGCAUGUUAUGUACUGGAAUUCAUCUGAAUCAGUUUUAUUAUAACUAUAAUUUUAUAUAUAUAUGUAUAUAUAUAAUGCUACUCAAAUAUCAACAUCA